GACGAACCGUGCGAACGUUGUUCGGAAUCACUGGGCUUAAAGGGCGCGUAGGCGGGCUGCCAAGUCUGGGGUGAAAUCCCACGGCUCAACCGUGGAACUGCCUCGGAUACUGGCGGCCUCGAGGGAGGUAGGGGCGUGCGGAACUGUAGGUGGAGCGGUGAAAUGCGUUGAUAUCUACAGGAACUCCGGUGGCGAAAGCGGCGUGCUGGACCUUUUCUGACGCUGAGGCGCGAAAGCUAGGGGAGCAAACGGGG
rnacentral:rRNA from 1 species